UAAAGCCCUCCUCUGUUCGCGUUUCCCACCACACGGGGGCAGCCUUGUUCCUCGAGCCAUGCUUGUCCGCCGCCGCAGGGCUCGGUCCCGUUAAGGAGUUUGCAUGUUUGAGAAGAAGGGAAAAGCUGUCUGUCGAAGACCAACAUUCCGGAAGAAGCCACGUGAGCUCAUUGACCUCUCUAAAGUCCCUUCUCGUCCUAGCCAGCGAUUACGAAGCAGAAGUGACAUGGAACCUGGGCCGCCUAAACUUAAACUCUCCUGGCACACUCCAGAGGAAUGAGGCUCGACAGGGAGGGCUGGGCAAGAGCCUGAGGCUGAUCCCAGCAUUUUCCAGAGGGAAGCAGCUCAAAGCAAACUUUUGUGAGAGUCCAAGGGUCUCCAAGACAAGAAGAGCAGAAGUUAAAAAUGAACUAGAACACACGAACAAAAGCCAUGUCCACACCAUGAGCGAUGGCUUCCAGCUGAGAGGCAGCGAGGCCGAAUCAGCGCCUCAUGGAAGCAACUUUAACUUCUUGGAGGGGAAAUGCAAAAGCACACCCAUCCGAUCAAGUUUUGAGAGCAGGAGCACAGCACGGCAAGGCAGCAAGGUAUGAAGUCUAUCUGCACAGUGUUUGAGGAUCCAGCUACACGUCACAGGCUCUGAAAAGCUGUUAAAGACAUGCACGCUUCAGAGUCCUAUACUACAACUUUGUUGAAUGGUGCCAUCUGGAUGUUCCCAUGUGACCCUCAGACCUCAUCCCGACCACCACCCAGAGACACAUCCUGCAAUCUGACCAUCAUAUGCUGCUGGUGUGAGGUGGCAUUUUGGGAAACAAAUAGGACCAAUGGCCUUAUAAAGAGUUCCCAGGGCCUGGGAGAUGGCUCAGAGGCUAAAAGGCUUGUUGUACAAACAUAGAUGCCCAGUAUCAUAUAAAAUGACUGGUAUGCAGCUAACAAUCUAAGCAACAGAGAAGAGGCUACGUUAAAUGCCCUCCCCUGAUAAUGAGAUUGAUGACUGACUUAUAUGCCAUCCUAGAGCCUUCAUCCAGCAGCUGAUGGAAGUAGAAGCAGACACCCACAAUUAAUUACUGAACUGAACUGGAAUCCAGUUGCAGAGAAGGACGAGUGGUGAGCAAAGGGGUCCAGAGCAGGCUGGUGAAACCCACAGAAACAGCUGACCAGAACAAUGGGGAGCUCUUGGCCCCCAGAUUGACAGCUGGGAAACCAGCAUGGGACUGAUCCAGACCCCAGGAACAUGGGUGUCAGUGAGGAGACCUUGGAAAUCUACAGGACCUCCUGUAGUAGUUCAGUACUUAUCCCUAGCAUAGGUGUGGACUUUGGGAGCCCAUUUCACAUUGAGGAAUACUCCCUGAGCCAAGACACACGGGGGUGGGCCUAGGCCCUAUCCUAAAGGAUAUGACAGACUCUGAAGACCCCCUAUGGAAGGCCUCACCCCCUCCCCCUCCGGGGAGCAGAAAGGUAGGGUUUUAGUUGGGGGAGUGGGAGGGGAGGAGGGGAGGGAGAGGGAACUGGGAUUGGCAUGUAAAACAAUCUUGUUUCUGAUUCAAAUAAAAUAAUGGAGAAAGAAAAAAAUGACUGGUAU
rnacentral:lncRNA from 1 species